rnacentral:rRNA from 1 species
GAUGAACGCUAGCGGCAGGCCUAACACAUGCAAGUCGAGGGGUAGAGUGCUUCGGCACUUGAGACCGGCGCACGGGUGCGUAACACGUGUACAAUCUACCUUUUGCUAAGGGAUAGCCCGAAGAAAUUUGGAUUAAUACCUUAUAGUAUUGUUUGGUGGCAUCACUGAAUAAUUAAAGCUCUGGUGGCAAAAGAUGAGUACGCGUCCCAUUAGCUAGUUGGUGUGGUAACGGCAUACCAAGGCUACGAUGGGUAGGGGUCCUGAGAGGGAGGUCCCCCACACUGGUACUGAGACACGGACCAGACUCCUACGGGAGGCAGCAGUGAGGAAUAUUGGACAAUGGUCGGAAGACUGAUCCAGCCAUGCCGCGUGCAGGAUGACGGCCUUAUGGGUUGUAAACUGCUUUUAUACGGGAAGAAUAAGGUCUACGAGUAGAUUGAUGACGGUACUGUAUGAAUAAGCAUCGGCUAACUCCGUGCCAGCAGCCGCGGUAAUACGGAGGAUGCGAGCGUUAUCCGGAAUCAUUGGGUUUAAAGGGUCCGUAGGCGGGCUUAUAAGUCAGAGGUGAAAGCACUGAGCUCAACUGAGUAACUGCCUUUGAAACUGUAGGUCUUGAAUAUUUGUGAAGUAGCUGGAAUGUGUAGUGUAGCGGUGAAAUGCAUAGAUAUUACACAGAACACCGAUUGCGAAGGCAUGUUACUAACAAAUUAUUGACGCUGAUGGACGAAAGCGUGGGGAGCGAACAGGAUUAGAUACCCUGGUAGUCCACGCUGUAAACGAUGGAUACUAGCUGUUUGGAAGUAAUUUUGAGUGGCUAAGCGAAAGUGAUAAGUAUCCCACCUGGGGAGUACGCACGCAAGUGUGAAACUCAAAGGAAUUGACGGGGGCCCGCACAAGCGGUGGAGCAUGUGGUUUAAUUCGAUGAUACGCGAGGAACCUUACCAAGGUUUAAAUGGGAAACGACGUACCUAGAGAUAGGUAUUUCUUCGGACGUUUUUCAAGGUGCUGCAUGGUUGUCGUCAGCUCGUGCCGUGAGGUGUCAGGUUAAGUCCUAUAACGAGCGCAACCCCUGCGAAUAGUUGCCAUCAUUAAGUUGGGCACUCUAUUUGGACUGCCGGUGCAAACCGUGAGGAAGGUGGGGAUGACGUCAAAUCAUCACGGCCCUUACA